rnacentral:rRNA from 1 species
UACGGGAGGCAGCAGUGGGGGAUAUUGCACAAUGGAGGGAACUCUGAUGCAGCGACGCCGCGUGAGUGAAGAAGUAUCUCGGUAUGUAAAGCUCUAUCAGCAGGGAAGAUAAUGACAGUACCUGACCAAGAAGCCCCGGCUAACUACGUGCCAGCAGCCGCGGUAAU